AUAUUAUUAUUUUUAUUAUUAUGUUUUGCCGCGUGUUUUACAAAAAUACCCGAUAAUAUGGGUGAGUUACACAUAAUCGCUUUCAUCUCGUUCAGACGAUUAGGGUUUAGGGGACCCGGGGCGGUCUCCAAAGAUUCCGUGAUAGUAUAACGUGCUCAACCAUAACGCGUUGAACUCGACCGCCGCUACACACUUCAACGCGUUAUACAUUAACGGAAACCGAUUUUCGUUAUCUCCAUCACGCGUUAUGGUUUAUUUUUGUGAGGGUAUUUGUUGGUUGGGGGAAAUUGUUGGGUGUGGUGGUGAGUGAUGACCACCCCCACUAAAAAUGGUUGUGAGUGAUGGAAAAAUGGUCAAUGACAUGGCGAAACUUGAUUGGUGCUUGUGAGUGAUAAAUUCUAUCACUAGUGAACCACCCCUAGUCCCCUUAGAGGUUACAUAUGUUUUGAUUCUUAUUAGUUUUUGUAUAGCUGAUUAAAUCAACAAGUUUUAUUUAUCUCUCAAAAGUAAGUUAUUAGGGUUUGAUCUAUAUGGUUUUAAAGCACAUGUGUGAUAUAUAUGAUAAAAUUCCUCCUUUGAUUUUCCAGAUUAUUUUUUUAAAUACAAGAGGCGCGAUUUGGAGCGAUGGCUGCAUCCGACGAAGCUAACAGGAAACGUUUUGAGAAGUGGAUGAAAAAGCAGAACAAAGUAUACAAAAGCGACAAGGAGAAGGAGAUUAGAUUCGAGACGUUUAAAAUUAAUCUCCAGGAGGGGCGAUUUGGACCGAUGGCUGCAUCUGCGAAAUCUGACGAGGAGCGUUUUGAGGACUACAUCAAACAGUACAAGAAAGAAUACAAAACCGAAGAUGAGAAGAAGCAUAGAUUUAAGUCGUUCCAAAUAAAUCUCCGUUAUAUAGAUGCUUAUGAAGCUUUUGUUGCAGAUGAACCCCCAGUAUUUCAUGCCGAGGGUUUGAACCAAUAUACAGACUUGACUGAUGAUGAGUACUUAAGAGAUAUCCUCGGAAGGGAUGAGAAUGAGAUCCCCCCACAUUUUAGUUGGAGUGACAGUGACGAUGACUGUGAGUUGGUCAAGUAUAGGUACGGGUAUGUGAGAGAUAGCAAGGGCGAGGAAGAGGUCCUCGAGGAUGAGGAUGAGGACGAGGGCGAGGAAGAGGUCCUCGAGGAUGAGGACGAGGGCGAGGGCUUGGACUUCGGGGCCGAGGGGAAGGGCAAGGUCAAGGGCGAACUGGAGUUCAAGUCCGAGGUCGAUGUUUCUGUCAAACGUCAAAGGAGAGAGUGUAAGUAAUUUUACCAAAUAUUGUUAAAACUUUGUUUUACCCUAUUUGAAAGUUAAUGUGGCAGUAUCUAUUUAGCCAAGUUAUAAACAAAUCUGGGGCGUUCAACCAACUAGCGCAUACAUUGUUUUAGUUAAAACUGUGUUUUACUAUAUCCCAUUGUUUUUUAUUUUUUUAUUUUUUUUUUGUGAACCAACGGAUCUGAACAAGUAAGAUUUAUAUAUAAAUAAAUUGAGUAUAAAUAAAUGCUAAAAUCCAUUGUGUGAAACCAACCCGGAUGACGAUCAGUGACACAGGAGAUGAAACUCGGAUGGUGUAGACGAACUGAGAGAAAUAAGAUGACCGAUAACGAACCGAGUACGACAAUGACGUAGAAAAAUACGACAACGACCGGCGUUGGAAAAAAAGAGCGAAACUGAUUUUUUUUUCAAAAAAUUACCCUUCAAUGGUUUUAAAUGGCGCAGGAGUUGAAGAAUUGGCGCAUGAGAUUCCCAUCGCCACCCUACUUGGCGUAGGAGAAACUAACCUAGAAGGAGGGCUGAGGAAAACGAGGAAUCAAUGGCACAGGAACAAAGUACGUGCUGCGCCAUAUCGCACAGGAGAGGGGUCAUUGGGCAUUUUGGUAAGUUGUAAAAGUAAAAGGUUAAGUUCUUAAUUUAUUUGGUCGAUGAGGCUAAUUUGGUGUUUUCCCUGAUGAAAAAGUGUUUCAUGUUCUGACCCAAAGAUUUGAAGAUCAAGUUUUGUCUUAAUUAGGAACAAGAAAGACGUUGAGCAGCUGCAAGCAAUUGCAGACAUCCUCAAGUGUCCCAAAGAUUUGAAGAUCAAGUUUCUAGCCAUUUUAAUCACUGACGGAUCACUGGAAUAUCAUCGUGUCACCAUUGGAACCACCCGGUCAUAUCCAUCUUCACUAGGCAUAAUGUCUAUACACCAAUUCAGGAGUAAACCCAAUAAAUACGAAAAAAAAAAAAAAAAAAAAAACUUA